GGGGGAGUUGGGGGGGUUCUCCUUUCUUCAGUCCCCUUUCAAACACCACCCCCUACUUCGGUUCCAGUAUUUUGGUGCUUUGACAGGGCUGGGCCUGCUGGAAGAGGCUAUGAGUAGUUGGGAGUUACUUUCAGGUUCUAAAGCCAAAUUUGUGAGCCUUCUCACUGACGCUGGGUCUGUGGAAGCAGCUGGAUACUUUUGAUCAAGACUUGGAUUCGUUUUGAUUUCCCUUUCCCCCUUUCUCACUUGUCCUGUCUCCUUCACUCGAUCUUUGGAAACUUCCCAAAGGAGAUGAAGACGUGGAAAAAAAAAAAAAAAACAACGCGAACCGAAGGGUGGGGAGAGGGCGGAGAUCGUGUGAGGAAUGGCCUACACCCCUACCCUCCGGGCCCACCCCCCUGCUGGCAGGAAGAUCUUUCUUCUCUGACUCUUCUUUUCAACUCGCUGCCCCGAGCGCUUGGAGGGGGCAGAAAGUGUUUUGCGAUGUGUGUUUUGAAACUACCCAACCUCCCCACCCCACUCCGUUGAGUACCGAUCCUGACCGCCUCCAUUUUUAGGGGGAGCAUCAUCAGCUCGCAGAUGCUGGGAUUUGGAGAUCACCUUGCAUCUCUCUCCUUUCCCCUGCUGUCUGCUCCUCGCCUGCUCUCCCCCCCACCCCCAACUGACUAUCUCCUCUGGCAUUCAGGUAUCAAGAUGCAACAGAGUGGAAUGAAUGUUAAUACUUUCGUAGUCGAGGGAAAAAAGAAGAAAGAGACAGACCAUGUGUGGGGAGUUACAGGCAUUGGCAUGACACAGUGCCAGCUGUGAGCCCUUGGGGACGUCUCCUAACCUCUGAGCCUCAGUCCUCAUCUGUAAAAGGUGAUAGUACCUGUCUGCAAGGUUGUUGUGAAGAUUAGAUCAGAUGAUGCAUGUACAGAACCAACACAUAGCAGAAGCUCAAUAAAUUGUAGCACUCUUCCAAUUA